rnacentral:rRNA from 1 species
AUUGAACGCUGGCGGCAUGCUUUACACAUGCAAGUCGAACGGCAGCACGGGGGCGAACCCUGGUGGCGAGUGGCGAACGGGUGAGUAAUACAUAGGAACGUAUCCUGAAAUGGGGGAGUAGCUCGGCGAAAGCCGGAUUAAUACCGCAUACGAUCCACGGAUGAAAGCAGGGGAUUCGCAAGAAACCUUGCGUUUCUGGAGCGGCCUAUGUCUGAUUAGCCAGUUGGCGGGGUAAAAGGCCCACCAAGGCGACGAUCAGUAGCUGGUCUGAGAGGAUGAUCAGCCACACUGGGACUGAGACACGGCCCAGACUCCUACGGGAGGCAGCAGUGGGGAAUUUUGGACAAUGGGGGCAACCCUGAUCCAGCCAUGCCGCGUGAGUGAAGAAGGCCUCGGUUGUAAG